AACGAACGCUGGCGGCAGGCUUAACACAUGCAAGUCGAACGCCCGUAGCAAUACGGGAGUGGCGGACGGGUGAGUAACGCGUGGGAACGUACCCUGAGGUACGGAAUAACCGAGGGAAACUUCGGCUAAUACCGUAUGAGCCCCGCAAGGGGGGAAAGAUUUAUCGCCUUGGGAGCGGCCCGCGUCGGAUUAGCUAGUUGGUGGGGUAACGGCCUACCAAGGCUUCGAUCCGUAGCUGGUCUGAGAGGACGAUCAGCCACACUGGGACUGAGACACGGCCCAGACUCCUACGGGAGGCAGCAGUGGGGAAUCUUGCGCAAUGGGGGCAACCCUGACGCAGCCAUGCCGCGUGAACGAUGAAGGCCUUAGGGUUGUAAAGUUCUUUUACCCGUGACGAUGAUGACGGUAACGGGGAAUAAGCUCCGGCUAACUUCGUGCCAGCAGCCGCGGUAAAAAUAGCGUACU
rnacentral:rRNA from 1 species